UACAGAGGGGGCAAGCGUUGUUCGGAAUUACUGGGCGUAAAGGGCGCGUAGGCGGCCUUCUAAGUCGAACGUGAAAUCCCCGGGCUCAACCCGGGAACUGCGUCCGAUACUGGAAGGCUUGAAUCCGGGAGAGGGAUGUGGAAUUCCAGGUGUAGCGGUGAAAUGCGCAGAUAUCAGGAGGAACACCGGUGGCGAAGGCGGGACUCUGGGCCGAUACUGACGCUGAGGAGCGAAAGCAUGGGGAGCGAACAGG
rnacentral:rRNA from 1 species